rnacentral:rRNA from 1 species
UGAAUCCAUAGGUUAAUGAGGCGAACCGGGGGAACUGAAACAUCUAAGUACCCCGAGGAAAAGAAAUCAACCGAGAUUCCCCCAGUAGCGGCGAGCGAACGGGGAGGAGCCCAGAGCCUGAAUCAGUAUGUGUGUUAGUGGAAGCGUCUGGAAAGGCGCGCGAUACAGGGUGACAGCCCCGUACACAAAAAUGCACAUGCUGUGAGCUCGAUGAGUAGGGCGGGACACGUGGUA